rnacentral:rRNA from 1 species
UACGUGAGGCCCAAACGUUAUUCGGAAUUACUGGGCUUAAAGAGUUCGUAGGCGGCGCAGAAAGUAGGGUGUGAAAGCCCUCGGCUCAACCGAGGAAUUGCGCUCUAAACUACUGUGCUUGAGGGACCUAGAGGUGAGCGGAACUGAUGGUGGAGCGGUGAAAUGCGUUGAUAUCAUCAGGAACACCGGAGGCGAAGGCGGCUCACUGGGGGUCUUCUGACGCUGAGGAACGAAAGCCAGGGGAGCGAACGGG